rnacentral:rRNA from 1 species
UACGGGGGGGGCAAGCGUUGUUCGGAAUUACUGGGCGUAAAGGGCUCGUAGGCGGCCAACUAAGUCGGAUGUGAAAUCCCCAGGCUCAACUUGGGAACUGCAUCCGAUACUGGAUGGCUUGAAUUCGGGAGAGGGAUGCAGAAUUCCAGGUGUAGCGGUGAAAUGCGUAGAUAUCUGGAGGAAUACCGGUGGCGAAGGCGGCAUCCUGGACCGACAUUGACGCUGAGGCGCGAAAGCGUGGGGAGCGAACAGG